UCAAGGAAUCAGUGCUCUGAAAAAAUGUUCCUAGUGGAACAGCACCGGGUCGGAGGCGCGAUGUUCCGCUCCGUUCCUCUCGCGCAACACCUCGGCGCUUCUGUCUCCUUCCCCUUCGAUUCCUCAUCCGCGUUUCGUCGAUCGAAAUCUGAGGUGAGCUCGUUGAUCGAAUGCGCGAAUUCGACUUCUGUGAAUCUCAAAAACAUCUCAAUCCAGUUACGAUGGACUUCGAGGCGAAACCCCGAGCCCGAGAUUCCAAAGGAAUCGCAAAAAGUUCAUCUGGCAGGAGAUUCGAUCGCCGGAGGGGGAAUCUCUCUCCCGGUGGAUCCACAUCGUACUGGUUUUGGGAAGAUCUCAAAACCGGUCGCGGUGCGCUUACCUCCUGUUUGUCGGAUUCGGGAAGGAAUUUUGGGCGUCGAUCCUUCUCAUGGGACACGGGGUGUUCAUCUGGGGGGAGAGGGUUUCUCUAGACCCGAAGCUUGUGGCCGAAUCCGUCAUUCGAGUAGCCUGUGGCCGACCCGGCUAGGGUUUGAGGAAUCAUCCCCCACGGAAGCCCCGCCGCAAUUUGCUUUGAUCGGCAGAUUUGUGGGGUACUUCCAGCAACCACAAUUGGGGGAUGUACGUACAAAAUCCUACGCUCAAGUUGUUCGGGAUUCGUUUUGUGCAAGUGUUUCUGGUGCUGAGAUGAGUCGGCAAGAGGGCUUCGGAUCUGGCCGCCAGGGUCGAGGUGCUGGGCGAACCAAUGCUCGUACCAAUGUGUGGCAACACAUCGAUGGUCGGGAUCAGAGUGGACAUGAUCAUGAGAGUAAGGAGGUUGACCUCUCUGGACAGUUUCAGCAUAAGAUGAAUUCCAGGGGUUCUGAUGAUUUGGUUGAGCACAACAGAAAUACCCAUGGCUCCAGUGAUGAAAGAGGUGAAUGGCACAUGUAUGGGGAUCGCAACUCUAGUCGUGGGAAGGAUUCUGGUGCUGCUGGUUCAUCUUCUAGUAAUUGGGAUCGAGCCGCGUGGCAAAGUGGGGUGGGAAUUCCAGUUGCAGACACACAAGUUAAGGAGCCCAAGCAGACAAGAGAAUCUCAUUACCAAGUUGAUCAGAAUGCUCAGCAACAACAAGGCCCUGGGGGGAUGCUGCAUCAAAAGGCACUCAAUAGAAAUAUCAGGAGGAUCCUAAUCAAGGCAAACACCAAAAUCUUGGAAGAAUGGCUUGUGCUAUUUGUGGGCCUAAAAACCACUCCACUGGGGAUUGUAGGAGAAAUAUGUUCUGUGAGUUAUGUGGCUUUGCUAACCAUACUACCCUUGACUGUAAGAGAGAGCCAUUCUGGAAUGUUGGACCUGAGUUGUGUGCUGCACAGGUUCCAAAUCAGAGUUUCUUUUAUAUAGAUGAAAGUAUUGAUCCUAAGGCUGUUAGGGAAAAGGCUAGUACUGCAAUUAUAACAGUGAAGAGAGGAGAACUUACUGCAAAGCAAAUUGAAAAUGAAUUCAAAUCAGUUGUGAGCAGUGAACACUGGAAAUGGAGUGAAAGGAAGAUAACCAACAACAAAUUCUCUAUGAGGUUUCCCACAGCCAAAAUGGUCCUAGAGUACAUCAAAUUUGACUUGGGGGAUGAAAGGACUUGAUGUGUAGUUCUCUGUUGAACCAUGGACAUCUGUUGUGAAUGCUAAGGGUCAAUUGCAACAGGCUUGGUUCAAGGUGGGUGGAAUUCCUGCUGACCAAAGAGGGCUUAGAACCAUAGCCAAGAUUGGUGGCUUGGUGGGGAAAACAAUACAGAUUGAUGAAUCAACAAGAUUCAACAGAGAUUUUGUAAGGGUAAAAAUAGCCUGCAGAAAUGUUGAUCUUGUUCCUCCAUCUGCUGAGUGUAACCUGGGAUUAUACAUCUAUGACUUCUUCUUUAAAAGGGAAGCUCUUCAAGAGGAUAACAUGAUAAACUUGGGGGUUGCUGAUUCAUUGGAGAACCCUGAAACUCAAGCAAGUCCAAAAAGACCAAGAACAUAUUACCAUGGCCCUUCUGAUUCUGGAACAAAAACCAGUAAAGGGAAAGAUCCUGUGACUGACUCCUUUCAAGGAAAGCAACAUUGCAGAACUGGGUCUGUUGUGGAUGUGGCUGUAAGACUCUCUAGAUCUGCACCCAGUAAGCUCAUGAUGAACAAGGUAAAAACUCAAUUUCCUAACCUGGUGGAGAAAGACUCAGGAGACCAUAUGGGAAUAGAAGAAGCCAUUCCUGCUGCUACCUAUGUGCCUAUUGUUGAAGAUCUCAGUGAUGAUAGUGAUAGCAGUACUGAUUUUGAAAAACAGGUGAACAAUGUGCUAGGAACAGAUGCUGAACCCUCUACAAAAAGAAAUGAAAAUCAGUGGAUGGCAAGCUGUCAGUUUGUUUGUCUCUGUUCAGAAAUUUCCAGAUCCUCAUAUUCUAGACUCUCUCAUUAAUGGUCAUGUGGAUGCUGUUAAUACUUCCAAUGAAGGUGAUGGUCCUCUCAUGACAACUACCACUAAAGGGUCAACUCCCCAAGUAAUGCUGCAGUCUGGAACUGAAAAGGAUCUCUGCUUACCAGAAGUUCAGGAAAUUAUCAAAGAAUCUGAAAUCCCAAAUCUAGAUGAACAUAAUGCUGACCAGGAAGUUGGGCAAAAGUAUUUUGUGGAAGAUAAUGUCAGUAUGCUUGCUUCUAAGAAAAUCAACCUAAAGAACCUGCACAAUCCUUGUGAGGAACUCAGGAAGAAAAGAAAGGAAAGAAGAACAAGUGACAGACAAAUGACUAAACUCUUGAAGACAGAAGAUGACAACCAUCUGAAGAAGAGGCCAUUUGAAGGUUUGUAUGGUGAGGAUCUGCAGAACAAGAUCUUGGAAGGAGGCAAGGUGCUGCUCGCGUGUGCUUACAAGGUUCUGGCUCAGGAACCCCGUCCGCUGAUCUGCUUACCGGCACCCCAAGACGACGCUUCUGAUGAAGAGGGCGAUGCAUGAUGGAAGCUUUCUGCCCGUAAUCCUGUUGCUGCCGUCUCGCUUUUGAAUGUUGUGUGGCAUGUCUUACAGACUAUUCGCUUUGUCGCUCUGUCUUUAGUCUAAUUCGCCUUUCGUGGCUCCCUGUUAGAGUUGUCAUAAGGUACUUAAGUGUGAACUAGCCUUAGGAAGCCUAGGGCCUUGGUGGGUUGUGGUUCAGAGCUCCUGAAAUUUUGAAUGUCAAAAUUCAGGUGUCUCUCUAUCCGAACCGUACCACCCCCUUCUACUCUUAUCUGUAUCAGACUCCCGAUAUUUCCGUUUGCAAUGGAAAUGGGGUAUGACCUCGAUUCGAAAAAAAAA